GGCACUAUAACCACACCAAGGUCCCACUGUAGGAGCCGGCACUACAACCACACCAAGGUCCCACUGUAGGAGCCGGCACUAUAACCACACCAAGGUCCCACUUCAGACAAACAUACAUGUAGCAUUUAUUAAGGUUUCAAAGCCUUUAUAAAGGCCUUCAUGGAUGCUUUAAGAAGGGUUUAGAACCACAUACCAC